ACUACGGGCGGCAGCAGUGGGGAAUAUUGGGCAAUGGGCGCAAGCCUGACCCAGCAACGCCGCGUGAAGGAAGAAGGCUUUCGGGUUGUAAACUUCUUUUCUCAGGGACGAAGCAAGUGACGGUACCUGAGGAAUAAGCCACGGCUAACUACGUGCCAGCAGCCGCGGUAAUAGGUAGGUGGCAAGCGUUAUCCGGAUUUACUGGGUGUAAAGGGCGUGUAGGCGGGGACGCAAGUCAGAUGUGAAAACCACGGGCUCAACCUGUGGCCUGCAUUUGAAACUGUGUUUCUUGAGUACUGGAGAGGCAGACGGAAUUCCGAGUGUAGCGGUGAAAUGCGUAGAUAUUAGGAGGAACACCAGUGGCGAAGGCGGUCUGCUGGACAGCAACUGACGCUGAGGCGCGAAAGCGUGGGGAGCAAACAGGAUUAGAUACCCGAGUAGUC
rnacentral:rRNA from 1 species